UACGAAGGGGGCUAGCGUUGCUCGGAAUUACUGGGCGUAAAGGGCGCGUAGGCGGCACUGUUAGUCAGGCGUGAAAUUCCUGGGCUCAACCUGGGGACUGCGCUUGAUACGGCAGAGCUAGAGGAUGGAAGAGGCUCGCGGAAUUCCCAGUGUAGAGGUGAAAUUCGUAGAUAUUCGCAAGAACACCAGUGGCGAAGGCGGCUCACUGGCCCGGUACUGACGCUGAGGUGCGAAAGCGUGGGGAGCAAACAGG
rnacentral:rRNA from 1 species